AGAGCAGGGAUUUGUGUGUAUCGGCGUAGUGCUGUGACCAGUGCACUCUGUUUCCGAAAGAGUUCCCUGCAAGAUCCAUCUGGGGAAGGUGGGCAGUUGUAUUUCAUUUGAACCAUUGAAAUUUUCAACAAUCAUCUUCCCCACAUCG